rnacentral:rRNA from 1 species
CCUACGGGGGGCAGCAGUGGGGAAUAUUGGACAAUGGGGGGAACCCUGAUCCAGCCAUGCCGCGUGUGUGAAGAAGGCCCUCGGGUUGUAAAGCACUUUCAGUGAGGAAGAACGCCUGGUGGUUAAUACCCAUCAGGAAAGACAUCACUCACAGAAGAAGCACCGGCUAACUCCGUGCCAGCAGCCGCGGUAAUACGGAGGGUGCGAGCGUUAAUCGGAAUUACUGGGCGUAAAGCGCGCGUAGGUGGCUUGAUAAGCCGGUUGUGAAAGCCCCGGGCUCAACCUGGGAACGGCAUCCGGAACUGUCAAGCUAGAGUGCAGGAGAGGAAGGUAGAAUUCCCGGUGUAGCGGUGAAAUGCGUAGAGAUCGGGAGGAAUACCAGUGGCGAAGGCGGCCUUCUGGACUGGCACUGACACUGAGGUGCGAAAGCGUGGGUAGCAAACAGGAUUAGAUACCCCAGUAGUC